rnacentral:rRNA from 1 species
CAGCAGCCGCGGGAAUACGAAGGGGGCUAGCGUUGCUCGGAAUUACUGGGCGUAAAGGGAGCGUAGGCGGGUCGUUUAGUCAGAGGUGAAAUCCCGGGGCUCAACCUCGGAACUGCCUUUGAUACUGGCGACCUUGAGUAUGGGAGAGGUGAGUGGAACUCCGAGUGUAGAGGUGAAAUUCGUAGAUAUUCGGAAGAACACCAGUGGCGAAAGCGACUCACUGGCCCAUUACUGACGCUGAGGCUCGAAAGCGUGGGGAGCAAACAGGAUUAGAUACCCGAGUAGUCCCUGUCUCUUAUAC